UAGGUUGAGCCUACGUCGGAUUAGCUAGUUGGUGGGGUAAAGGCCUACCAAAGCGACGAUCCGUAGCUGGUCUGAGAGGAUGACCAGCCACACUGGGACUGAGACACGGCCCAGACUCCUACGGGAGGCAGCAGUGGGGAAUCUUGGACAAUGGGGGAAACCCUGAUCCAGCGAUACCGCGUGUGUGAAGAAGGCCUUCGGGUUGUAAAGCAC
rnacentral:rRNA from 1 species